rnacentral:rRNA from 1 species
ACGGGAGGCAGCAGUGGGGAAUAUUGGACAAUGGGGGGAAACCCUGAUCCAGCGACGCCGCGUGAGUGAAGAAGUAUUUCGGUAUGUAAAGCUCUAUCAGCAAGGAAGAAAAUGACGGUACUUGACUAAGAAGCUCCGGCUAAAUACGUGCCAGCAGCCGCGGUAAUACGUAUGGAGCAAGCGUUAUCCGGAUUUACUGGGUGUAAAGGGAGCGUAGACGGCAAAGCAAGUCUGAAGUGAAAUCCCGGGGCUCAACCCCGGAACUGCUUUGGAACUGUUAAACUUGAGUGCAGGAGAGGAAAGUGGAAUUCCUAGUGUAGCGGUGAAAUGCGUAGAUAUUAGGAGGAAUACCAGUGGCGAAGGCGGCUUUCUGGACUGUAACUGACACUGAGGCUCGAAAGCGUGGGGAGCAAACAGGAUUAGAUACCCUGGUA